UACGGGGGGAGCAAGCGUUGUUCGGAUUUACUGGGCGUAAAGGGCGCGUAGGCGGCCAGCACAAGUCAGUUGUGAAAUCUCCGGGCUUAACUCGGAAAGGUCAACUGAUACUGUGCGGCUAGAGUGCAGAAGGGGCAACUGGAAUUCUCGGUGUAGCGGUGAAAUUCGUAGAUAUCGGGAGGAACACCAGUGGCGAAGGCGGCGAUCUGGGUAGAUACUGACGCUGAGGUGCGAAAGCGUGGGGAGCAAACAGG
rnacentral:rRNA from 1 species